rnacentral:rRNA from 1 species
GACGAACGCUGGCGGCGUGCUUAACACAUGCGAGUCGAACGGUAAGGCCCUUCGGGGUACACGAGUGGCGAACGGGUGAGUAACACGUGGGUGAUCUGCCCUGCACUUCGGGAUAAGCCUGGGAAACUGGGUCUAAUACCGGAUAGGACCACUGCCUGCAUGGGAGGUGGUGGAAAGCUUUUGCGGUGUGGGAUGGGCCCGCGGCCUAUCAGCUUGUUGGUGGGGUGAUGGCCUACCAAGGCGACGACGGGUAGCCGGCCUGAGAGGGUGACCGGCCACACUGGGACUGAGAUACGGCCCAGACUCCAACGGGAGGCAGCGGUGGGGAAUAUUGCCCAAUGGGCGCAAGCCUGAUGCAGCGCCGCCGCGUGAGGGAUGACGGCCUUCGGGUUGUAAACCUCUUUCAGCACCGACGAAGCGCAAGUGACGGUAGGUGCAGAAGAAGGACCGGCCAACUACGUGCCAGCAGCCGCCGUAA